AUAAAAUACUUUCGCAGCUCUAGACUUUCAGACACAGGCGUUCGCUAGACAGCUGCAUUGAAGCCCCGCCUUUGGCGCCGCGGACUAAUGGAGCCGGCCGGCCGGCGUCAAAUGGGAGAAUAACUGUGGCGGGUCCGAGGCUAAAAUAAUUCUGAAGUGAUAGACAAAAUGAGGCAGAAAUCCAGUUUGUACUUUGGCGCAGUGACGGACAGGUGCACCAAUUAUUAACCAGGAAAUGAGACUUAGAGGAACAAAAACUACGGGACAAUUACUGUAAAGAACAAUUACUCUUAUGAGUAACUAGACUGGUCUUACCAUCUAAUGGAAAUAUUAGAGUUAUGGCAGAAUACAUAAACUGAUGCUUCACAGCAAACAGACUGCAAUCUGACUUCACUCUUUCUCUGAAAACAUUUGACUUCUUGCUGGGGAACACAAGUUGCUCUCUGAUACUUUACCCAAUUGAUCAUUCUAUCUUGUGCCCCAGCUAUUAUUAAACAAUGUGAAGUUACCUGGUUGUAAAUUCUCACUUUUAUACAUUUUUCUUCCUAUUUAUGUAGUAUUUUAAAAGCUACCCACAGUAUAGACAAUUGGACUCUGUACAAACAACCUCAAAAUGAUUUUUGUUAAUAAAGUAUCAAAUUAUCUCUACUGUUGAAGCAAGUGAAAAUUACAUAUUCCUUUACUGAUUUUCUUCUUUAAUUUAAAUUACCUAAACCACAGGAUUGUUACCCAAUUUGAUUUAGAUUGGUGAUAGAUAUUGAAUAAUUUCUUUAUUAUUAUUUCCACUGAUUUAUAGAUGUGGAAGUGCCUGAGAAUUUUUUUAGAGUUGUAUUAAGGACAAUCUAUAAUAGCUACAUGUCAAAAUGAGUAAUAAAAGUAUUUUCAUACUUCAGUUUUAAAAGAUCUAGAGUCAAGUAUUUGAUGUAUUUUUAUACUGAUUUUUUCUCACCUUAGAAACACGUUGAACAUAGUUUACUUUAGAUUGUCGGUGCCAGUCAGUGAAAGCAUAAAUUGCCAUAAAAUGAUCAAUACUAUCUAACUAAAUUAUUUAGUGAUUCAUAUAUACAUUUCAUUACAGUACAUGGAUAGAUUUCAUUUAGGAAACAUACUUUUCCAAUAAAGUACGUUAUUGAGAGUAAAACCAAAUUUUUAAGAAUCUUUUAAAACUAGUUCCCUCUGAAAUACUUUUUUGUAUUUGAUUAAUGUAAAAUAUCUUAAUUCCUAUUGUGGACCUAAGUUUUAGACAAAUUAUACAUUAUGUAGAAAUUCAAUAACUAUAAAAUGUAAAUGGAUCGAAAGAUUUUUUUUGUAGAUUUUUCUUGUGGAAAAACAAACCCCACCCAUCUUCAAAAUAAAUGAUCCCUGUAACCCAUCUAGAAAAAUAAAAGAUGACUCAUUUAUUUGGCUUAGUUUAUUAAUAGCUUCACUUCUUGAGAAGUGAUAAAUUAACUUCCGAUACCUUGGUGUCAGUAUUAACGAACCCAGGUUUAUCAACACAAAAUGAUCCCCACUCUCCACUGUUGAAACAAUUAAAAUUACAUAUACCUUUACUGAUUUUUAAGUUAAAUUACCAAAACAAUUUUGCCUAAAUUGUAUAAAGGGCUAUCUGUGUAAUCUAAAUUUACUGACGAACUAAAACACAAAUGGAUUUAAACAAAUGGGAUUCAACUUCAUUUCAAGUAUUUUAGUCCAAACUGGUAAUGAAUAGGCUAACAUAAAUGCAAUAGGGACUGAUACUAUUAGACCAUAAAGACUUGGGAGCAGAAUUAAGCCAUUUGGCCCAUUGAGUCAGCUCUGCCAUUCCAUCAUGGCUGAUUAGCCCUCUCAAAUCCAAUCUCCCACCUAUUCCCCGUUACCUUUGACUAAUUAAAAACCUAUUAACCUUUGCUUUAAGUAUACUCAGUGACUCUGUCUCCACAGCUGUCCAUGACAAUGAAUUCCACAGAUUCACCACCCACUGUCUAAAGAAAUUUCUCAACUCUGUCCUAAAUGGACAUCCCUCUAUUCAGAGGCUGUGCUCUUUGGGCCUAGACUCAACUACUAUAGGAAACAUCCUCUCCAUCAAGCCCUUUCAAUAUUCAAUAGGUUUCAAAGAGAUCCCCUCUCUUUCUUCUAAACUCCAGUGAGUAUAGCCUCAGAAUCAUCUGGUGGUGUUGGUAUGUAAUCAGCUGAUGAUUUUAUAUUUCGUUUACUUGUGUACUCAAAUAUCUAGCAUCCCAAUUAAAUGGACAGUUAGAACAUAGAAAUGUACAGCACAUUGUAGGCCCUUCACCCAGCAUGUUAUGCCGAUCCUGUAACCUACUCUAGAAACUGUCUGGAAUCAUCCUAUCACAUAGCCCUCUAUUUUUCCAAGCUCCAUGUACUAUCUAAGGAGUCUCUUAAAAGAUCCCAUUGUAUCUGCUUCCACCACCAUCACCGGCAGUGCAUUCCAUGCACUCACCACUUUGUGUGAAACACUUACCCCUGCCAUCCCCACUGUACCUACUUCCAAGCAACUUAAAACUAUGCCCCCUUGUGUUAGCCAUUUCAGCCCUGGGAAAAAGCAUCUGGCUAUCCACACGAUCAAUGCCUCUCAUCAUCUUAUACACCUCUUACCUUCUGUUGCUCCAAGGAGAAAAGGCCAAGUCCAGUUAACCUAUUCUCAUAAGGCAUGCACUCCAGUCCAUGCAACAUCCUUGUAAAUCUCCCCUGCACUCUUUAUUUAUUUCUUUUUUAAAAAAUAUAUGGCCCUAAACAGAUAUUUUUAGUAGUGCAGUGCUGCACCUCAAUUCAUGGUGGUAUUCUUCCAAGUGUGGGUCAUCCUAUAUUUGGAGUCCCUGACAAUGUUGACUGAGAUCUCUGCAGUGAGUUUGGAUCUCAUUCACCAUUUCCAAAAACAACAAAUCCUCCAGUUUUUCACAGAAUUUUGUCCAAAAGAUAAAAUAGAUCCUCUACACAUCUAUAGUAAACACGUUAAAAAUGUUGCUGCCUUAAUUAUAAUUC